rnacentral:rRNA from 1 species
CCGUGUAGUCAUAUGCUUGUCUCAAAGAUUAAGCCAUGCAAGUCUAAGUAUAAGCAAAACUAAUGCAAAACUGCGAAUGGCUCAUUAAAUCAGUUAUCGUUUAUUUGAUAGUACCUUACUACACGGAUAUCUGUGGUAAUUCUAGAGUUAAUACGUGCUAAAAACCCCGACUUCGGGAGGGGUGUAUUUAUUAGACUAAAAACCAACGCCCUUCGGGGCUCCUUGGUGAUUCAUAAUAACUCAACGAAUCGCAUGGCCUUGAGCCGGCGAUGGUUCAUUCAAAUUUCUGCCCUAUCAACUUUCGAUGCUAGGGUAGUGGCCUAGCAUGGUGACAACGGGUAACGGGGGAUUAGGGUUCUAUUCCGGAGAGGGAGCCCGAGAAACGGCUACCACAUCCAAGGAAGGCAGCAGGCGCGCAAAUUACCCAAUCCCGACACGGGGAGGUAGUGACAAUAAAUACUGAUACAGGGCUCUUUUGGGUCUUGUAAUUGGAAUGAGUACGAUUUAAAUACCCUAACGAGGAACAAUUGGAGGGCAAGUCUGGUGCCAGCAGCCGCGGUAAUUCCAGCUCCAAUAGCGUAUAUUAAAGUUGUUGCAGUUAAAACGCUCGUCGUUGAACCUUGGGCCUGGGCGAUCGGUCCCCCUCACCGGGAGCACUGGUUCGGCCGGGCCUUUCCUUCUGGGGAUCCGCAUGCCCUUCGCUGGGCGUGUCGGGGAACCAGGACUUUUACUUUGAAAAAAUUAGAGUGUUCAAAGCAGGCCUUUGCUCGAAUACCUUAGCAUGGAAUAAUAGAAUAGGACGUGCGGUCCUAUUUUGUUGGUUUCUAGGACCGCCGUAAUGAUUAAUAGGGUCAGUCGGGGGCAUCAGUAUUCAAUUGUCAGAGGUGAAAUUCUUAGAUUUAUUGAAGACUAACUACUGCGAAAGCAUUUGCCAAGGAUGUUUUCAUUAAUCAGUGAACGAAAGUUAGGGGAUCGAAGACGAUCAGAUACCGUCGUAGUCCUAACCAUAAACUAUGCCGACUAGGGAUCGGGGUAUACUCAUUUUUGGUUGCCUCGGCACCUUACGAGAAAUCAAAGUGUUUGGGUUCUGGGGGGAGUAUAGUCGCAAGGCCGAAACUUAAAGGAA